AACCAUAGAAACCUGCGGAGUACCUGCGGAGGGAUCAUUAUAGGAAAUAUACAAAACAACAAGUUGUGGAGGGGGGGAUUUGAGGGGGGGGGGAGAUUCGUUCUCUCUCUCUCUCUGUUUCUUUCUCUGCUUCUUCAAACAAACUAUCGCAACAAUUACAUGGAUUGGUGGGGGGAAUGAAUGAUACAAGUGCUUGCCUGAUACACUGAUGGAUUGAGGGGAAAGAAAAAACAAAACUUU
rnacentral:misc_RNA from 1 species